GUAGUCCACGCCCUAAACGAUGGAUACUAGUCGUGAGAGGUAUCGACCCCUCUCGUGACCGUAGCUAACGCGUUAAGUAUCCCGCCUGGGGACUACGGCCGCAAGGUUGAAACUCAAAUGAAUUGACGGGGACCCGCACAAGCGGUGGAGCAUGUGGUUUAAUUCGAUACUAACCGAAGAACCUUACCCAGGUUUGACAUCGAUCGCAAAGCGUUGAAAGGCGCUCCUCCCCACAAGGGGGACGUGAAGACAGAUGUUGCAUGGCUGUCGUCAGCUCGUGCCGUGAGGUGUACGGUUAAG
rnacentral:rRNA from 1 species